rnacentral:rRNA from 1 species
GAUGAACGCUGGCGGCGUGCCUAAUACAUGCAAGUCGAGCGAACGGACGAGAAGCUUGCUUCUCUGAUGUUAGCGGCGGACGGGUGAGUAACACGUGGAUAACCUACCUAUAAGACUGGGAUAACUUCGGGAAACCGUAGCUAAUACCGGAUAAUAUUUUGAACCUCAUGGUUCAAAAGUGAAAGACGGUCUUGCUGUCACUUAUAGAUGGAUCCGCGCUGCAUUAGCUAGUUGGUAAGGUAACGGCUUACCAAGGCAACGAUGCAUAGCCGACCUGAGAGGGUGCUCGGCCACCCUGGAACGGAGACACGGUCAGGACUCCUACGGGAGGCGGCAGUAGGGAAUGGGCCGCAAUGGGCGAAAGCAUGACGGAGCAACGCCGAGUGAGUGAUGAAGGUCUUCGGAUCGGAAAACUCUGUUAUUAGGGAAGAACAUAUGUGUAAGUAACUGUGCACAUCUUGACGGUACCUAAUCAGAAAGCCACGGCUAACUACGUG